UACGUAUGGGGCAAGCGUUAUCCGGAUUUACUGGGUGUAAAGGGAGCGCAGGCGGCCUGGCGAGCCUGAUGUGAAAUACCGGGGCCCAACCCCGGGGCUGCAUUGGGAACUGCCAGGCUGGAGUGCCGGAGAGGCAGGCGGAAUUCCUAGUGUAGCGGUGAAAUGCGUAGAUAUUAGGAGGAACACCAGUGGCGAAGGCGGCCUGCUGGACGGUGACUGACGCUGAGGCUCGAAAGCGUGGGGAGCAAACAGG
rnacentral:rRNA from 1 species